AACGAACGCUGGCGGCAUGCCUAACACAUGCAAGUCGAACGAGACCUUCGGGUCUAGUGGCGCACGGGUGCGUAACGCGUGGGAACCUGCCCUUAGGUUCGGAAUAACUCAGAGAAAUUUGAGCUAAUACCGGAUAAUGUCUUCGGACCAAAGAUUUAUCGCCUUUGGAUGGGCCCGCGUAGGAUUAGCUUGUUGGUGGGGUAAUGGCCUACCAAGGCGACGAUCCUUAGCUGGUCUGAGAGGAUGAUCAGCCACACUGGGACUGAGACACGGCCCAGACUCCUACGGGAGGCAGCAGUGGGGAAUAUUGGACAAUGGGCGAAAGCCUGAUACAGCAAUGCCGCGUGAGUGAUGAAGGCCUUAGGGUUGUAAAGCUCUUUUACCAGGGAUGAUAAUGACAGUACCUGGAGAAUAAGCUCCGGCUAACUCCGUG
rnacentral:rRNA from 1 species